ensembl:lncRNA
AUGGUACUCUGUGCUCCCCGAUCGUCGGUGAUGUCCUCAUUGUCAUGGUCCCGCCCGAUGUCAUCUGCAACAACGAGGGAUUCAAGUCUUCGGGGACUAAACUACGGCAAGGAGCCAAGGAGCAACCCUGCGGCGACAGGAAACCGCAGACCCCCCAGGCACAGGCCAUGGCCCCAACCCGACGCCCAAGUCCCAGGAGGCGAGGCCCAGCACAUGGCUGCUCUCUUGUGUUCCUCCGGCUGCCUUUCCAGUCUCGUCAGCGGGAGGGCGAAGACGCAGACCCGGACGGGCCCUCGAAGCGGUCGGAUAGCCCUGGAAGGUCGGGGGGCGGACCCCCCAUCCCAGCUGGGGACCACGGAGGAGAAUGUGGAUGGGACGGGGAGAGCUGUGUUGGACACGCGACGAUGCAGAGAGAGAGAGAGAGCUUCCAGCGGGGACCCAGCCCUGCGGAGGCCUGGGGACCGGGUCGUACGCGGGCGGGCAUGCUGGGUGCCCUUGGGGCCUCUCCACGGCGGAAAGCACCCAGCCGUCCCAGAGCCCACGUCCUCCUCACCCUUCUGUCUGUUGCAAUCCUCUGUGUCUUUCCCGGUGACUGGACACAGGGCCUGGUCGUUCCCUCGUCCGUCACAGAUCGUAGACUGUCUCCAGGAGGGUCGCACCGAGGGCGCGAAUUCAGGAUUCAGCCAACGCCUUACUCGCCCUUUGAGCACGCGGUACGAGUUCAGGAGACCCCAGAGCCUCAUCCCUUGCCACUGCUUCUCUGAGCCUUCCCAUUCCCUUGCCCCUCCCCCCAGGUGUCCCCUGUGCUCCCGUCGGGGCGGGGGGGGGGGGGGGCCCAGGGGCUUCUGUCAGACAAGCUGCUGCUUGCUCGCCCCCAGCUGCCCAGGGCCCUCUCUUCCCUCCCAUUUUCGCACGGCUUCAAAAGUGCUUGUUUGGACGAGGCCAGGCACCUGCAACAGCGUCUCCGGGGUUAGACACACGCGGGUUCAAAUUCUGGCUCUGUCUCCGCCCACGGGCUCUGUCCCCUCAGGCGAGUGACUCAGCCCGAGUCCCAGUCGCCUCACCUAGGAAAGGGGCGAGUAUAAUACCUACCGUAGGACGGCUGUGAACAGAUGAGCUGCACCCCUGAAGUCACGGGCCAGUCGCGGCCCAACCACGGCUCCGGCAGCAGCAAUAAUAAUAACACGUCAAAGGCCAGCGCCGGGCUGGAUUGUCUCAUCCGGUCCCCGGAGUGGCUCUAGGCCCUCUGUGCUGAUGGAGACACUGAGGCUCAAGUGGCUUCUCCGGGGGGAAGCUUGGACUCUGAUGCAGGCGGUGUGGCCCCGGGGCCUCCGCUCAAACUACCACCCUGUAACUUCUUUUCUUUCCAGACCCAGGCGAAACCUCCAAUCGCAGAAGCGCGUUGGGGUCCCUCCUGGCAUCGUGCGGCCAACACCUGCAAACCGUCCCCGGUCCCUGCCCUGUUCCACCUGGGCCGGCCCUUGCUCCCCGCGGAAGCCCGGGAAAGAAGGCCCCCACCGCCUCCUGGCGGAUCCUCUGCGCGGUCACAGAGCCCACGCCGCACUUGGCGUCGGCAGCCCACGGGGGCUUGGUGUCCUUCCCCAGGCCUUAGACUCCCAGCCGCGAUGCACCGCCUCGGAGAGGCAGGGCAUUUCCUGGCGGCCGCCCGGCAGUCGGCCCGGCCUUUAAAUCAGUUGACGUUCUCUACGGCCCCGGGAGACAGGGCAGGAUGCUAUCCCAGCUCGCACGUGGGGAACCCAAGGCCUCUGCCAAAGUCACUCCGCUGGCAAGAACCUAGGGCCCUUCCUGCCUCUCGCCGGUCAGCUGGCAUCUGGUGGCAAGGCGGGGCGCGCUUCCCUGCCCAGGCCUUGUGUCGGAAUCACCAGGGAACAGAUUGCACACCCACUAGAUCAGGGUCUCCGGGGUGGGGCCCAUGCCCUGCUGUUGCUUUUUCGAUACCCAGGGGGUUCCCGUGUGCGGCCUCCGUCAUGGCCACUGCCACUCCCGCUGUGGCCGGUGGGGGGGGUGGGGCAUUCCC